UUUUUCUUUUUUUUUUUUUUUUUUUUUUUUUUUUUUUUUUUUGGCUUUUUGCCAUUUCCUUGGCCGCUCCCGCAGCACAUGGAGUGGUCCAAGAAAAUGGAAAACAUACAAAAAAAAAAAAAAAAAGAGAGAGAUUAUAGGUAAUAUUCUAAGCCAUGUCCUUGAAGUUGUUUUGCAGGUGCUAAAGCCCCCACUAGGCGGAAGAAGUUAACUGGAUGCUACCCACAAACACAUAGACGCUAGACCUUUGGAACCAGAAGGCUGAUGCUGCUGACUCCCAAUUACCUCACCACUAACCAGUCAGGGAAAUAUCCAGGAGCUUAUCACACCCCGGUCCUUGAACACAGUAAGACUCCUCAGUGCCCCCUCCAAGGCGGGCACAGUCCUUUUUGCCUGGCAAUUAAACUACAUUUUCUGUUUCCUCCAACUCUGUCUCCAUGUUUCUAUUUGGCAUCGGUGUACAGAGGCAGCUGAUAUUUCAGCAAUAAAAGCAAUAGUGUCACAGUCAGAGAGACGUGUGAAGAUGUUAUGCUAUUGGCUUUGAAGAUGGAGCAAAAGGCCACAGCUGAGGAUUGCAGGUCACCUCUAGAAGCUGUGAAGGACAAGGAAACAGCUUCUGCACUGUGCUCUCCAGAAGGAACCCGGCUCUACCAAUACCUUGACUUUUGCUCAAUAAGAUCCAUUUUUAACCACUGACUUUCAGAACUACAAUAUAAUAAUUUGGGUUGGUUUUAGACCACAAAGUUUGGUAAUUUAUUAUAGAAAUUAUCUCAGCCUAUUAGUUAAAUCCUCUCACAAUCUAUGGUGACAGGUAUACACAGAAGGAGAAAACCCAUGAUUUAGGUAAAGGUAUUCAAACAACUUCAGCUGUCAGCAUACUUAUUAUUCAGCUACCAAUAAUGUUACCCAACCAAACUUGGGUCUGCUGGCCCAUAUGCAUAUGGUCAAUCUAUAAAUACCACAUUAUGGAGGGAGGAAAGUACAGUGUUUAUUGUAGGUGCCAGACAAGGGGUCUGGGGCUGCUAAUGCUCAAAGAACCCAAACUCCCUGAUGGGUUUCAGGAAAGCAUUUUAAAGGCUGGGGUCAUGUGAUCUCAGCAUGAUACCCGUGGUCUUCUGGGUUAUCAUAUCUUGAUUUUUCCUAAAAGAAAAAUACUUGCCAAAACGACAUAUUCAUCAGAGAUUAGAACAAUCUAGGAAAGUCCCUUAAAAAAAAUGCUUUUUCAGGAAAGCAUUUUAAAGGCCAAGCAUUUAUCAGGCACAAUGCUUGAUAGUGAGGUCACAGGGCGGGUUCAUGGGGGUUACCACUAUGAAUCCGCGUUUCCAGUAGGUCUGGGUGCUAAAUGCUCAUAGACUUCAAGUAGUUAACGUCUUCCAUUUGGUGGAGAUUUUAGUAUCUAUAAAACAACUCAGGAAAUGUGCAUUAGAUACUGUUAUCCAGGUAUAUAAUAUACUAGGAGUAUCUAGUAUGUUCCUACUUCAGAGAGGAAUUGAAGGUUCUGUGACUGCCAUAUGGCUAAUUUACUGAAUGGGAAAAAGAGAAGAAAAAGCUCCUUCAGAUUAACCAUCACUCAAUAGCAAUGACUGUCUCAAGUGAUUCAUAUAAAAGUAAUAUAAUCAAUGAUAUGGAAUUGUACAAAUGAGCUCACUCCCAGCAAAAGUUCAUGCAAAUUUAUUCCCAUUUGACCCCAUUUGGUACCAGUUCUCUUGGACCAACUGCUACUUUUUGUAGUUAUCACUGCAUGUUUACAUUCUUUCAGUCAUUAGCUCUUGAGCCAGACUUUUGUGACUCAGGGGAGGCCUCGGAGACCAUAGCUUUUCCACAAACAAGAGGUAGGCUGAGGACGAGGAGGAAGGCGUUGUUGCCAAAACAACUUGGCCUCUGUCCGCCACUGUGGAAUAGAAACUCAGAGACAGAGUUUGGGGGGAAGGAGAAGAAAGUUUUUAUUGCUUUGCCAGGCAAAGGAGGCCACGGCAGGCUAAUGCCUUAAAGAUUGCGUCCUCCAUUGAAAGAAUUGUAGGGAGUUUUACAGUAAAAAGGAGAAAAACAGGGUUCCAGAUAACAAUCAGGGUGAGGACAAAUAUGCAUUUGUUGGGAGAAUGUUAGUCAUUAAAGCUGGGGUCAUGUGAUCUCAGCAUGAUACCCGUGGUCUUCUGGUUAUCAUAUCUUGAUUUUUCCUGAAAGAAAAAUACUUGCCAAAAGGACAUAGUCAUCAGAGAUUAGAACAAUCUAGGAAAGUCCCUUAAGAAAAAAUCAUGUGCUUAUAAUCUUUGACCCAGAGACAGUUGUACUCAGGGCGCCUAAUCUGUAGCUCAUGGGUUGUUGUGUUUAGGGUGCAAUUAAGCCAGGGAAGGGAAGCACAAGGAAGGGCUCUAAGCUAUUUUUUAAACUGGUCGUUUCUAGAAGACACAGAAGGAAAUAUAUGUAUCUAUUUACUUUUUAGGACUGCCCAUGUGGCAUAUGGAGGUUUCCAGGCUAGAGGUAAAAUCGUAGCUGCAGCCACUAGCCUAAACCACAGCCACAGCAAUGGAGGAUCCAAGCUGUGUCUGUGACCUACAUCACAGUUCAUGGCAACCCCGGAUCCUUAGCCUGCUGAGCGAGGCCAGGGAUCGAACCCACAUCCUCAUGGAUACUAGUUGGAUUCAUUUCCACUGCGCUACACUGGGAACUCCUGGCAUAUAUCUUUUCUCUUAGGUGUAUGAGGUGCCUGCAUCAGUGUAUGUCCCAGGAAGGCUUUAUAGGAUCUUGCUCAGUUAUAGUUAUUCAUACUUGCUUAAGGAAAUGUUAUGUACUUUAGUACCUAAAAUCUUCCUGGUGAAGCUUUAAUCUGGAGAAUCAACCUUUUUUUUUUUUUUUUUUUUUUUUUUUUUUCCCAAGGCUCAGAUAAAGAUGUGCCCGCUAAGUGUACACUUGCAAGAGAUUAUUCUGAUUGACCAGUGCCUGGGUUUAAAUACUCUGAAUACUAGUGUCUCUUCAAGCAUAGCAGAAAUGAUACAUUUCAUCCUAGUGCAUCAUGAAAAGGAUCUCAGAGAAAUAAGUGAGGCCUGCUAAGGAAAGCGAUACUAUUAGGUAGCUCAGUAGAGAAAAGUACACUCUUCAAGAAGCAAGAACACAGAGCAUGAACAGUCAGUGGGGAAUUGUGACUAGGCUCAAAAAUGAUUCUGUGUGAAAGAUCAGCUGGUUGGACAUGCAGACGGUGCAUGCACAGUUCUCCAUGCUGAAAAGGACCCCCUACUUGCCUUAAUGCCCUGCCAUCAAUGUCUUGGAAUUAUUAAUAAUUUUUCAACAAAGCACUCCACAUUUUAAAUUUUGCACUUGACCCUGCAAAUUAGGUAGCUUGUUCUGACUCUAUGUGCAUGAAAGGGGUGGCCUGGUUUUUUGCUUCAUCUAAUAGAGAUUUUAUCAUACACAGUUUUUGCAGGAAAUACUUCAUCUCAGAUAGAGGUAUCUGCUGGGUUUUUUUGACUUGUCACUAACCUCAAAUGAGUCACCCCAUGCUGUGUACAUAUCUGGCCCUAGCACACUUUUCAAAUCUUUUGAUCACACAAUCUCUUGCCUAACCUAUUGAUCCUUUUUGUAGAUCAAAAAAGUAGAAAUGAGAAAUAAGAAAUUUAGCAGAUAACCAGACUUUUCCCCUAACUUCCUUUUUCGUGACCUCAGGAACAAACUGUGUGAACAAGAAGUCGACCAGCCUGUCCAGAGUAGAGGACUCUGACUCCCAUCUCAAUGAAUAACUGAGAUAACUUCACUUUUUCAUCUUCAAAACUCUCAUGGCGGUUGCGGGUUCGGUCCCUGGCCUUGCUCAGUGGGUUAAGGAUCCGGUGUUGCCGUGAGCUGAGGUGUAGGUGGCAGACACGGCUCAGAUCCCUCAUGGCUGUGGCAUAGGCCAGCAGCUACAGCUCCGAUUAGACCCCUAGCCUGGGAACAUCCAUGUGCUGUGGGAGCAGCCCUAGAAAAGGCAAAAGGACAAAAACCCUCUCAUGGCUGAGCAGAAUCUUUGGUGGUGGUUUUACAGGCACACUGUGUCCACCCUCAUCCCAGACUGCUGGCAUUCUGAUGAAGAGCAGCUUUCCUUUCCCCCAACAUUUGCCUCCCUUGAAUAUUGAGUUUUGCAGUGUUGAGCAGCUGGACCUGAUUCAGUACCGUUAUUUUAAAAGUCAACUUAAAAAAAAUUUUUUUUC
rnacentral:lncRNA from 1 species